rnacentral:misc_RNA from 1 species
GUAGCUUUCUAUGGAUUGGACUUUAGAGAUUGUCUCUUAAGAGUUCUUCUGCAGUUUAGUUGGUAGGGUAGGAUAUAUUAAUUUUCUGAAUAUAGUUUCAGACAAAUGAAACAGCUAUGACACCUACGAGGCUAUGACAUAGCUAUUGUUGGUUUAUGCACCUAUUUUUAUAUCUAUACACUUGAGAUGGAAAAAGUUAGAGGUAUCAAGGAGUUUUCCCCCUCCCACUUCUUU